UAACUCCGUGCCAGCAGCCGCGGUAAUACGGAGGGUGCAAGCGUUAUCCGGAAUCACUGGGUUUAAAGGGUGCGUAGGCGGUCUGAUAAGUCAGUCGUGAAAUCGCUGGGCUUAACCUUUGCAACUGCGAUUGAUACUGUUAGACUUGAAUAAGAUUGAGGCAGGCGGAAUGUGGCAUGUAGCGGUGAAAUGCUUAGAUAUGCCAUAGAACACCAAUUGCGAAGGCAGCCUGCUGGGCCUUUAUUGACGCUGAGGCACGAAAGCGUGGGGAGCAAACAGGAUUAGAAACCCCGGUAGUCCG
rnacentral:rRNA from 1 species